GAUGAACGCUGGCGGCGUGCCUAACACAUGCCAGUCGAGCGAACGGACGAGAAGCUUGCUUCUCUGAUGUUAGCGGCGGACGGGUGAGUAACACGUGGAUAACCUACCUAUAAGACUGGGAUAACUUCGGGAAACCGGAGCUAAUACCGGAUAAUAUUUUGAACCGCAUGGUUCAAAAGUGAAAGACGGUCUUGCUGUCACUUAUAGAUGGAUCUGCGCUGCAUUAGCUAGUUGGUAAGGUAACGGCUUACCAAGGCAACGAUGCAUAGCCGACCUGAGAGGGUGAUCGGCCACACUGGAACUGAGACACGGUCCAGACUCCUACGGGAGGCAGCAGUAGGGAAUCUUCCGCAAUGGGCGAAAGCCUGACGGAGCAACGCCGCGUGAGUGAUGAAGGUCUUCGGAUCGUAAAACUCUGUUAUUAGGGAAGAACAUAUGUGUAAGUAACUGUGCACAUCUUGACGGUACCUAAUCAGAAAGCCACGGCUAACUACGUG
rnacentral:rRNA from 1 species